rnacentral:rRNA from 1 species
GACGAACGCUGGCGGCGUGCUUAACACAUGCAAGUCGAGCGGUAAGGCCCUUUCGGGGGUACGACGAGCGGCGAACGGGUGAGUAACACGUGGGUGACCUGCCCUCAGCUCUGGGAUAAGCCUGGGAAACCGGGUCUAAUACUGGACAUGACUCCAUGACGCAUGUUGUGGGGUGGAAAGCCUUGUGCGGCUGAGGAUGGGCCCGCGGCCUAUCAGCUUGUUGGUGGGGUGANGGCCUACCAAGGCGACGACGGGUAGCCGGCCUGAGAGGGCGACCGGCCACACUGGGACUGAGACACGGCCCAGACUCCUACGGGAGGCAGCAGUGGGGAAUCUUGCGCAAUGGGCGAAAGCCUGACGCAGCGACGCCGCGUGAGGGAUGAC